GACGAGUUCUGAUUAUUGAAAGGUGCUUGCAUCUUGAUUUAAUUUUGAACGAGUGGCGGACGGGUGAGUAACACGUGGGUAACCUGCCCUUAAGUGGGGGAUAACAUUUGGAAACAGAUGCUAAUACCGCAUAAAUCCAAGAACCGCAUGGUUCUUGGCUGAAAGAUGGCGUAAGCUAUCGCUUUUGGAUGGACCCGCGGCGUAUUAGCUAGUUGGUGAGGUAACGGCUCACCAAGGCAAUGAUACGUAGCCGAACUGAGAGGUUGAUCGGCCACAUUGGGACUGAGACACGGCCCAAACUCCUACGGGAGGCAGCAGUAGGGAAUCUUCCACAAUGGACGCAAGUCUGAUGGAGCAACGCCGCGUGAGUGAAGAAGGCUUUCGGGUCGUAAAACUCUGUUGUUGGAGAAGAAUGGUCGGCAGAGUAACUGUUGUCGGCGUGACGGUAUCCAACCAGAAAGCCACGGCUAACUACGUGCCAGCAGCCGCGGUAAUACGUAGGUGGCAAGCGUUAUCCGGAUUUAUUGGGCGUAAAGCGAGCGCAGGCGGUUUUUUAAGUCUGAUGUGAAAGCCCUCGGCUUAACCGAGGAAGUGCAUCGGAAACUGGGAAACUUGAGUGCAGAAGAGGACAGUGGAACUCCAUGUGUAGCGGUGAAAUGCGU
rnacentral:rRNA from 1 species